rnacentral:rRNA from 1 species
UACGGAGGGUGCGAGCGUUGUUCGGGAUUACUGGGCGUAAAGCGCGUGCAGGCGGUUUGGCAAGUCAGAUGUGAAAGCCCUGGGCUCAACUCAGGAAGUGCAUUUGAAACUGCCGGGCUAGAGUAUGGGAGAGGAGAGUGGAAUUCCCAGUGUAGAGGUGAAAUUCGUAGAGAUUGGGAGUAACACCCGUGGCGAAGGCGACUCUCUGGACCAAUGCUGACGCUGAGACGCGAAAGCGUGGGGGGCAAACAGG